CCUAGGAGGGUAUUUUCCCAGGAAAGAAUUCAAAGGCAAGCUAGUAGUGUUAUACAGCAACUUUUAUUGAACUGGCAGUGUACAGCAGCAUCGGAGGUCCUGCUCCCUUAUGGACCUGAUCCUUGUGGAUGCUCUGCGCACACUGCCUGUUGGGUAGGCCUUGAGUUCUUUCCUAGGUGAAGCCAAGAACUCUCUCAGGCUAAUCUCUAAUUUUGGGUCUCACCUGCCUUGCAUCAGUUGCAUCUGUGGCAGGCCAUGCUACGCCCAUAUGAGGCUCAUUGAUAGAGUUGCUUUCUGGGUAGGGUCAUGAAUGGCCUUAUCCUGGGCUCCCUUAUCUGAUCUUCUAAUGGCCACAUCUGAGGACGUUGCUAGAGUUUGGAAAAAAACAAACUAUUGUGUAUGAUUCUCCAUCUCAUGGAGAUGAGAGAGCCACAGAUGCACAGGUACUUGUAUGUGUGUGUACAUGCAUGCAUCUGUAAAACCACAAAUACUCUGUUAUCUUAGGAUAAAACAUAUGAUUUACUUAAUAUAACUAAGUUUCAGUAUUAUAAUUUAUAAAACAGUAGAAAGAAAAAAGCGCUGUGACAAAAUAGUGCACAAUUUAAACAGGAAGAAAAUACAUUUCAAAGGCAAUGUAAACCUCUUUCAGUGGACUUUGCCAGGUGGUGUGGAGGACAGUGACCUAGGGCCCCAGCCCCUCAGGGCAAGCAUAGCAGGCAGUAUGCAGAGUACUAGGUGUCCUUUCUGAAUGAUGUCUUUCCCGUCUCAUUUCAGGUGGAAUGAAGAAGCUGACCUCAUGUUAACGAAUAGCAGUUUCAUUAUUGGGACAACAUCUGUGAUUGUGUAUGCUUCAGCAUUUUACGGUAAAGUAGGAAUUACUCUGUUAAACUACAUGACUGGUUUUCAUCUUUCCCCCUCAAGCAACCCAAACCUUUCAUUUUAUCAGAGUUUAAUUUCUCCAUAACAUUACUUUGCUGUGUUGAAGAACUUACAUGGCCUAGCCUUUUCAAUUUCUCCUAGACUGUCACAUAUGCAAAGGAAUGGACUGAACAGGUAAGUCCUGCCUGAUUCUUGUCCUUGCUUUGCUCACCUGGUUGUGAGUUUGGGUAAAAUAAUGUAUUUAUUCAGGUGUCAGAAUCUGGAUAAUGGGAAUUUUUGUGAUGUAUUUUACUUUCUUUUUGGUCAAACAAAUGAAUUGAUUAAUGUAUUACAUUUGGUCGCAAGAUAGAAUCCCUUAGAACAAACCUUUCUUUCUUCUUUCUUGGUAAUGGUUCUUGUCCAGACAUAUGUGUCAUUUGGAGAAGGGUUAAAGACCACAGUAGCAUCAAUGCUAAUGUGAAGCCCAAUGAUCUGGAGUGCUUCUCUGCUGAAUAUCAAAAUAAGCUGUUAAAAUUUAAAACUCUCACCUACAUGGCUUUCCUCUGUAUUAAAAAGUACAAAUUUGCAGAAACUGCUAAGGAGUAUGUAACAACGCACCUACCAAAGCAAUGAAGAAAAAUACAUAAGACAUUAAAAAAUAAGUACAAAUUGAAUUAUCUAUUUCUUAAAUUUGGCAUUAUUAAAGAUUGUGUUUUGUUUGUUUUCAUUUUGUUUUAAUUAUAUUUUAACUUGAACUAUGUCCAUGGAAUGAAAUUCAUUAUCAAUUGUCAUGAUCCAGUUUUAUGCAGUUGACUACACAACCAUUCCAGCACCUCCCUUUUUUGUCAUUUUUUUUUUGUGUUCAUAAAUAAUUUGAAUCUUUUAAUAAUGUUUGGUGCUUUCUGAUUCUGGG
rnacentral:lncRNA from 1 species